AUCAUGAUCUGGAUUCGAACCAUAUCCCGACCCGAAUCCCGAACCAGAAUCUGACCCAAAUCUCAGAUUGGAUCCUCACCUGGAUCUCAGAUUGGAUCUUGAUCUGGAUCUAACCCGAAUCGGAUCCAAAUCGAUUCAGACCAGAUUUGAGUCGAUUCAAACUGGAUCCCGACCCAGAUCCGACACAAACUGAAUCCAAGUCGGUCC
rnacentral:lncRNA from 1 species